CCUACGGGAGUCAGCAGUGGGGAAUAUUGCACAAUGGGGGAAACCCUGAUGCAGCGACGCCGCGUGAAGGAAGAAGUAUUUCGGUUUGUAAACUUCUAUCAGCAGGGAAGAAAAUGACGGUACCUGACUAAGAAGCACCGGCUAACUACGUGCCAGCAGCCGCGGUAAUACGUAGGGUGCAAGCGUUAUACGGAUUUACUGGGUGGAAAGGGAGCGUAGGGGGCGAUGCAAGUCAGAAGUGAAAGCCCGGGGCUCAACUCCGGGACUGCAUUUGAAACUGUGUUGCUAGAGUGCAGGAGAGGUAAGUGGAAUUCGUGGUGUAGGGGUGAAAUGCGUAGAUAUCAGGAGGAACACCAGUGGCGAAGGCGGCUUACUGGACUGUAACUGACGCUGAGGCUCGAAAGCGUGGGGAGCAAACAGGAUUAGAUACCCCGGUAGUC
rnacentral:rRNA from 1 species